rnacentral:misc_RNA from 1 species
AGUCGUAACAAGGUUUCCGUAGGUGAACCUGCGGAAGGAUCAUUAACGAGUUCUGAAAGGGGUUGUAGCUGGCUUUUCCAGCAUGUGCUCGCCCUGUUCAAUCCACUCUACACCUGUGCACCAACUGUGGGCUUUUUGGUGGACUUGCUUAAUCGUCCUUCACCGGGCGUUGAGGCUUGUUGACCUUGGCCUGCGUUUUCAUACAAACCCUGUAAAAAGUAAAAAGAAUGUGUAUUGCGAUAUAACGCAUUUAUAUACAACUUUCAGCAACGGAUCUCUUGGCUCUC